GGCGAACGGGUUGAGUAACAGGUGGAUAAUCUGCCCUUCAGUGGGGGAUAACGGCUGGAAACGGCCGCUAAUACCGCAUUCGGUUGCCUGGGUUUUGGCCCGGGCAAAGAAAGAGGCUGCAAGGCCUCGCUGAAGGAUGAGUCCGCCCCCCAUUAGCUAGUUGGCGGGAUAAUAGCCCACCAAGGCUUCGAUGGGUAGCCGAGCUGAGAGGUUGAUCGGCCACACUGGGACUGAGAUACGGCCCGGACACCUACGGGUGGCAGCAGUAGGGAAUAUUGGACAAUGGGCGAAAGCCUGAUCCAGCCAUGCCGCGUGAGUGAUGAAGGCCUUCGGGUCGUAAAACUCUUUUCUGAGGGAAGAACGGCCAGGGUAGGAAAUGACCUUGGCGUGACGGUACCUCAGGAAUAAGCAACGGCUAACUCCGUGCCAGCAGCCGCGGUAAUACGGAGGUUGCAAGCGUUGUUCGGAAUUACUGGGCGU
rnacentral:rRNA from 1 species